AGAAUUCCCCUACAUUGAAAUUAACUAUCCCUGCUAAACCCUGAAUCUUCUCAGAUUCAAAGCUUCCUCCUAGGAUUGGGAUUGGUCCUUAUAUAGACCAAUCCUUCACCUGAAAGGGGUUGUGUGGCACCUCCCUAGCACAGGAUUGGUUCAAUUCAAGACCAAUCCCAUCUCAGGAAGUAGGGUUGUGGUCCCUCCCCCAGCACGGGAUUGGUUCAUUCAAAACCAAUCCCAACCUAGUAAGUAAGGAGACAGGACCCUUGGGGCCUGCUGCGGGAUGCACUUUCCCCAGCCACAACACUUUAAAACCCACACUGCUCAGGGGUGAAGUCUGGAGAUUCAGAAAUAUAUACAGGAGAGGAAAGAGGAAUGACUGGUCUCUCCAUCUGGCAGCUAAGGGACCUAGGCUAGCCUGCUUUUGACUUUAUUUGAGGGGUUUCCUUUCUUUUAAGCAGAUAGCUUUGUGAGUCCCCAAAGUUCUGGAAAUCUACUGUUAGCAUCAUCUACUAGUAAAAUACUUCCUCGUUUCACCCCCAGCAGAAAAACAAGAAAGCAACAAUAGUUUUUUUUUUUACUGUAAUUCCAAGGAUUUGUUAAUGAAAUUAGGAUUAUAAGAGAAUGAAGAGUUUAUUCUUCUAAAUAGGCAGUCAAGCUUCCCUAGAACUGAAUCUGAGCAAAUCAGAAUGGCUGACUGAAGGCCAAGAUUGGUACAAAUCCCCAGUUCCUUUGGCCUGAGCCAAGUGUUGAUACUGUCAACCCAAUAACUUCCCCAGUUUCUGUCCCCACCAACUGGAAUUGAACCCAAUGAGCGAGACAUGAAGAACUAGAAGGAGAGGCACAGGCAUUAUGUAUGUUGUGCUCUUCUCAGCAGAACUGCAUGACAGAGGAACUCCUCCCCUAAGAAAGAAGCCCAGCUACAGAUUUGGACCAUCACAGAAGUUUGCUGAACCCUGCUCUAGGCAGCCCUCUAAGAUUCAGAGAAGACACCAACUGGAAUUAUUGAAAGACAGAAUUCACCUGGGAAUUUCCUUUGCUAUAGAAAUAAUAAAUCUAAUUACUGUUCUAUCCUAUAUUUAGUCUGUAUAUACUUAUAUAAGCAUAUGCUUUUUCCAUUAAUAGAAUGUGAACUCCUAAGAACAAGGAUUGCUUGAUCCUUUGUCUUUGUAUCCCCAAUGCCUUGCACAAUGUUGCUAUGUUGUGAGUUCUUAAUAGAUGUUUGUUGAUUGACUCAUUA